CUAAUACAUGCAAGUCGUACGCUUCUUUUUCACCGGAGCUUGCUCCACCGGAAAAAGAAGAGUGGCGAACGGGUGAGUAACACGUGGGUAACCUGCCCAUCAGAAGGGGAUAACACUUGGAAACAGGUGCUAAUACCGUAUAACAAUCRAAACCGCAUGGUUUUGAUUUGAAAGGCGCUUUCGGGUGUCGCUGAUGGAUGGACCCGCGGUGCAUUAGCUAGUUGGUGAGGUAACGGCUCACCAAGGCCACGAUGCAUAGCCGACCUGAGAGGGUGAUCGGCCACAUUGGGACUGAGACACGGCCCAAACUCCUACGGGAGGCAGCAGUAGGGAAUCUUCGGCAAUGGACGAAAGUCUGACCGAGCAACGCCGCGUGAGUGAAGAAGGUUUUCGGAUCGUAAAACUCUGUUGUUAGAGAAGAACAAGGAUGAGAGUAACUGUUCAUCCCUUGACGGUAUCUAACCAGAAAGCCACGGCUAACUACGUGCCAGCAGCCGCGGUAAUACGUAGGUGGCAAGCGUUGUCCGGAUUUAUUGGGCGUAAAGCGAGCGCAGGCGGUUUCUUAAGUCUGAUGUGAAAGCCCCCGGCUCAACCGGGGAGGGUCAUUGGAAACUGGGAGACUUGAGUGCAGAAGAGGAGAGUGGAAUUCCAUGUGUAGCGGUGAAAUGCGUAGAUAUAUGGAGGAACACCAGUGGCGAAGGCGGCUCUCUGGUCUGUAACUGACGCUGAGGCUCGAAAGCGUGGGGAGCAAACAGGAUUAGAUACCUGGUAGUYCCUACCA
rnacentral:rRNA from 1 species